UUACUGACUAUCUAGGCAAAGUGUUUAACCGAGGCUCACCCACAUAUAGUAAUACUCACUUGUUUUGUUAUUGUUUACACUUCCAUGGCAAAAGCAAGGUGGAAUGAUUUGGUUACCAGAAAAUAUCAUGCAAGGACCAGGUGAUGAGAUGUCAGAGUGCCAUAAGUGCUGACGUCCAGAAUUUGAAAAGGCCGGCCCAUUUGGAUAUUGCCCUAAAUAAUAUCUGUAUUACCCGAUGACUAGGAAGGCACAAGGAUAUUGCAGAAAGCAACCUAAUACCGUUCACUCAACAUGGUCAUUGGGCAAGUGAACUAGGUGAGGCUGUCCUCAUACAACUAAUGCACCUAUCAAUGUUAAGCCCCAGAGGGAGGGUGGACAUAGGUGGGGCAUUUGAUUUUUUGAGCAAAUUUUCAAUCAAAUGCCCCACCGUCGGGCAAUAAAUAUUGGUCAAAUACCCCACCAUUUUGCAAUAAAUACUAUAUUAAUAAGUCAUAAUCGGUUCAAAUUUCCCCAACUUGGGGCCAAAAUGGUAAUCGAAAUCCCC